AACGUCUAAAUUAACUUUUUUUUGCUGAUGAACUGUAUAAAUGAGUGUCUAAUAGUGUUUUAAAUGUGUGCAUUCUUUAUUUUAGCAUUUUGGUGCAUUUUCUUUAAAAAUUAAAAAUUCUGUCUAAAAACCACAGUAAUGCGCCACCUUCAGCUGAAAACAUAGCAUUUGAGUCAUUUUGAAUAAAUUUUAGCCAAUGGCUAAAGAGUAAAGUACUACGUAAACCAGUAGAGUACUACGUAGCAGCUCCGUGCCAAAGUUAUAAAAGCAACGAGAGUCUCGGCCACGCCCUGUGGCGAGUGGGAGUUGGAUUUGCAAGCGAGCGUAGGAGGUCAGCGGUAGUUCAGCAUUAGCAUAUAGCAUUAGCAUAUCCUAGUCUUAGCAUAUCUUUUAGUGUUAUAAAUACUUAUUUAGUGUUAGCUUGGCUGUUGGAUAUUGUAGUUUAGUUAGUGUUUGGCUGUUAGUGUAAUUGGGAAAGUAUUUCGGGUUUAGUGUUCAUAUCGUCUUAGUAUUGGUGAGAUGGUGUAAUGUAGUAUGCUUGCGGUGACUCUGUGGGCAUUUUACCCGCGAUUCUGCACGUCUCCGUUUGAAGAGGGAGGCUGCCCACCGUGGCUCUUCCGCGAUUUAGAUGCAGCCCACCGACUCUGCUCCCCCACCACGGCGGGCUCCAGUCUGAGGCUAAAUCUACCCAAGACACUGGUUGUCAGACUGAUUUAGCUGCAAGAAUGCACUUGUCCAGGCUGAUGUGAAACCUUCCCUGUAGCAAAGCCAGCCAGAAUGGAGUUCACAGCCGCAGUGUGUCUGGUGACCCACAGGGACCAUGAUGAAAAUUCAUCUUCCAGAAAGUCCCAGAGCGUCCAGACCUCCUGAAAAGACCAAGAUGUAAGGUGUCUGCUGUUGAUUCCAGCUUCCACCUCAGUGACAGUGCAAGCUCAGUGAACUG